rnacentral:lncRNA from 1 species
AUCCCACUCCAAUCCACCCACAUCUCCCUCUCCAUUUCUUUCACAAGAAUAAGAUCUUAUUGUUGGAGCGAAUAGUGCUAGGCUACGCUACCGGAGCCUCUUCCUCCGACUCCAUCCGAACACCUUGGGGGCAUGAUGUGGCGGUUCGACGUCUGUAGACAUUAGAUCUCUAAAUCUCCCAACUCUCUAAUAUCAAAAAUGUUUUUAUCUCUAUUGGAAGAAAACUGGUCGCCCAUGUGGGUUGACCCGACCCGGUUUACAUAGAAAUGGGUUUUGGAGAGAGGAGUUGAAAAUUGAAUUUAAAAGUUAACCUCCCCACCUCCAAAAACUCCCAUCAACUUCCAUUAAUCUUUUUUUUCCCCGAAAGCAAAAACUAAGAAUAUUCGGGUUAAAGGGAGUGGAAGAAAAAUACAUAAAGAAAAAGACUUAAUUUUUGGAAGAUAAUAUCUCAAAUUGGGUUAUUGGUUUGUGGCUAUCAAAUACCUUCCUUUGUGAUCGAGUUUCUAACCAGAAGAGGAGUACUUGGGGAGCAAGCAAGAGGUAAGAAGGCAAAUAAUUCAACCUCUCGUUUUCUUGGGAUUUCAAGUAUGUUUUAAUGUUCCAAACUCGGUUAUGAGUAUGCAAGAGUGUUUUACAUUGAUAUCAGAGCCUAAGUCGUUAAUGGCAACUUUUCAUGUAAUUCAUAUUAAUUCAUGAAAUAUAUACUGUAUGUUUAUGAUAUUAUGGAGAACGUAUCUGAAAAAUUUCAUGUUAUUUGGCUUUGUAUUUGGGGAGGAAAAUUGAACCCUAGUUGAGAAAAUUGAAAUUUCAUCGCAUGAUAAUUUCUUGCACGUUAAGUUUCACAUAAACCAUUUAAUAUGAUUGGAUAGAUCUUCUUGAGAUCUUUCUAACGAUAUAAAGAACAUAAAUUUUGGUCUUAAAUUGAAGAAGUUAUGGCCUUCCGAAAUUUCAGCAGAAAUCUGAAAAAAAAAUUGUUUUUUUCGGACGAUGAACAGUAACCGGGAAAAAAAAAGGAACUGAAACUGUUGCUGUGGAGUGAGAUUCAUAUUUUGAAAAUUCAUGUAGGUCCCUCAAUUAUUGUAGAUGCGAUUUGAGAAAUUUCAUGUUAGUCCCCAUACUUUUAAAUGUUUCCAAAUGCAAUUGGAAAAAUUGCAUGGUAGUCCCCACACUUUUUGAAUGUUAAUUAUUUCAAAUGCAAUUUGAGAAAUUGCAAGUUAGUCCCACACUUUUGAAUAUUUUCAAAUACAGUUUGAAAAAUUGCAUGUUGGUCCCCAACUUUUUUGAAUGUUGAUUAUUCCAAAUACAAUUUGAGAAAUUGCAUGUUAGUUACCACACUUUUAAACGUUUUCAAAUGCAAUUUGAAAAUUUGUAUUUUGGUCCCAAAACUAUUUUUGGAUGUUGUUUAUUCCAAUACCAAUUUGAAAAGUUGUACAUUGGUCCCAAAAUUAUUUUCUUUCGAAAAUUGAUUGUUCGAUAUUCAAUUUAAAAGAUUAUAAAUUGGUCAUGCAUAUGAGGAUGCAUGCGAGACCCGACUUCAAUUCUGAAAAUUACAAAAUUGGUCCUUCAAAUAUUCUUGAUUUUUGUGUUCAAUUAAAAUUAAUUUUUAGAUGAUCAAAAAUAUUUUUUUUGGACUCAAUUAAAUUCUGAAAUUAUUUUAUAAAGGUCAAGAAUAUUUCUUAAGUGGUAUUUGUCCGAUGAGAGUUAUUUUUUUUAAGCAUUUCAUUUUUUUUGAAAUGAAAAAUACUCCGAAUUUAUUAAAAAUACCACAUUUUAUAUACGUUCAUGAGUUGUAUGGGUCUUGAUUAGAUUAUGUGAUCCAUUGUGACUUGUUUCGAAUUUUGUGUAUAUAUUAUUACAUCUAUGCAUAUUUAUCACAUCCUUAGAGGGAAUGCUAGAGAAACAAAGGUUAUAGAACUUGUUAAAAAGCUAUGUGCUUAUUAUAAUUAAAAAAAUACAUGGAUCUGAAACAUAACCUAGUGGAAUACGUGAAUAUUUUUGGAGACUUUUUUUUGGUGAUAAGUAGAAUAUGAAAAUUCCGAUAUCACUUUCCAUCUGUUGGGAUUGUGUUGCAACAAAUAUUAAAGCGUGGUUAAUAAUCAUGAUAUGUCAUAAUUACACAUUAUGAAAUUACAUUAUUAGAUAAAUGUGCAUAUUUAUGAAAUGUAUGAUAUCCAUUAACUCGUGUAUUGUUAUAAAUGCUAAGGUCCGUAGAAUUAAUGAGAUUUUUACUUAGACCUAUUAAUUGUCAGUUGAGUGAUAAUUCGAUAAUUGGAAGAUUUAGAGAAAACUCACCAAGAACUAUUUGAUUCACCAACUGAGUGGGGGUUCUAAAGUUGGAAGAAUUAAUGCAAUUCUCACUUAGAACCCAUGGAAUUUUGCAUUAUUAAAUUAAGUUUAUAAUAGUGAAACAAUAGGAUUGCGGACGAUGAUUGAGAAUAUAGUGAACUUUCGACUCUAUACCUAACGUUGAACUAUCGUAGAUGUUAUUUUGCGUUAAUGUAAAAUUAAAUAUGUGCAUAAAUAGGCAUUGAUUAAGAAUAACAUGUCUCUAAAAAUCUAAUAGAUCAUGACAUCAAAAUAUAUAGAAGUUAACCUUAAUAAAGGUGAUAAAUUAAAUGCGAUAAUAUUUGACAUGAUAAGAUUUUAAAUGUACUAGAAGGACAUGAUACUUUAGAGAACACCAAUCACGUAAUAGAAGAUCUUAUGUAGGUCAUACUACUCUAGAGAAUAAAGAUCAGAACUUUGUCGAGUAUGAAAAAAUAUGGAUUUUAGUACUCGAGCAUUUAAAAUUGUUAAGUUCUGUUAUAAAUAAUUUUUUUCUCAAAUAUGACUUAGUUGGUGGUUAUCAUAGUGUUAAUAUUUUCUUUGGUCACAUUAAUUUUAGAUAAGUAGUAAGUUCAAACUAAUCUCUUCUUAAUAUAUGGAAUUUUGAAAGUCAUUGUGACUUACAAAUAGUAGUGUCAAUUUUUUUAGUGACACUACCCGCUAUAUGAGUUAAAAGAUAUGCGACUUGAUAUUGCUAAGUCUCAAGGACAUGGUUGUGUAGCAAUGUUCUAGCUUGCAUAAGACUUUGAAUUUUAAGCAUUGAAUGAGCUAGAACAAAUGCGGGAUGAAUGUGGGAGACUGGUAAAGGGACCAAGAAGAACUUCAGAUAGUAGUGAAUGAAAGUGGUUUUGAUAGAGGAUCAAUGUUAUAAAAGUUCAACUGCUUCAACUAUAUGGUUUGAAUCUCUUAGCUCAAAAUGGUUAAGCUUAAGGAUAUUGUACUUGAACAUAUUACUCUUAGUGUUGUUUACAUAUCAACACUAUACCAACUGGAUCUUGUCUUGUGUAGAUAAUGGAUUCAAGGGUUAGAACCCACUUCAUAUGAGAUCAAUAAGUAUACUAGUCUAUUGUCGAAUAUUUGACUUAAUACAAAAUAGAUAUGUACAAAUAGUGAAGAUGAAGUGGAGAUUUAUAUGACUGGUAUUGCAACUUAAUGUUGCAAAGUGGAGAAAUUGAUCUUCUACUUGAUAUUGAGAUAGUAUCAAAAACUCCACUAAAUUUGAUCUCAAUUAUUGUUCUUCUAAGAAGGGUCUCUUACUUGAACUUGUACGUGGUAGUUCUGUUCGUACUCACAGUGGUGAUGUUUAUUGUGGUUCUGGAUAUACAAUGGUUUGAGAUUUUGAGUUGAGAAAACCAUUAAAACUGUAAGAGUUGAACUUCCAUAGAAUAAAUUCAUCCAACUUUCUUUGUAGGCCGUGAUCAAGAGAGAUAGAAAUGGAACUUUACUUUUCAUUACAUUUAUAGAUGGAUUCAUGCACUUUAGUUGUGAGACCGAUUUUCUUAAGUUGAAGAUAUUGUAUUGAUUUAACUUUUAUAAAGUCGAGUAGAAAAUCAAAUUAUGGAAGUGAAGAUUUUAAGAACUGUUUGAUAGCGUGAAUCUCUAUCACGAGAUAUCAUGAUCUAUGUAAUAAGAGGAAUUCUUAUUGGAUUGACUAUUCUUUAAUGUCCAAUAAUUAUAUGGUGUAUUGGAUUGAAAGAAUGAAAUAUUGCUGAAUAUGAUGACUGAUGAGGUUCAAGAUAGAUAGUACAACUUACGUAUUUGCUUUUGGAAAGAGCGUUGGCUAACUAUAACAUAUCAAUUAAUGGAGUUCUCUCAAUGUUGGUACCUUCAAAAUAGAUAAGUUUUGGACACGUAAAUAACCGAAUAUGAGUUAUUAUAGACUCUCAAUGGACUAUAUACGUUCUCGGUAACAAGUAUGGAAACAUGAGUCUAUUGAGAACUAGAUGUGUCUCAAUGACAUACAUGUAAUCCAAAAAUGUACUUAAGUGAAAUUUUGGAUGGAUAUCGAGUCAAAAGAAGUGACUUUUGACAUAUUUUUCAGUAAGAGAGAAAAGAUUGGAGAAUAUCGUUGAAAUUGAUAUUAUAUGUAUUGAUGAAUCAGUUUUGAAUAUAUAAGUGAAUAUUCAAACUUCUUAUUCAAGCGGGAGUAAUUUGUUUCUGAGUCGGACCUAUCUAUCCGAGUGGGAGCCAUCUAAGAACUAUCUAAUUUCAAUGAUACUUGGUUUCGAGUGGGAGUUAAGAAUCAUUUAAUAUCAAUGAUUGUUAGUUCUGAUGGGAGCUAUCUAUCUGAGUGGGAGCCAUCCAAGAACUAUCUAAUUUAAUGAUUCUUGGUUUCGAGUUGGAUCUAAGAACUAUGUAAUGCCAAUGAUUCUUGGUUCAAAAAAUCAGAAGAUGAAUUUUGAGGAAAGUGAUGGAAGUAUAUAUAUGGAGUAUAGAAUUUCGACCUAAUCUAAGAUAUGGUGAAAGUUCUGUUCAAACAUUAUGUUUAUUGAGAACAUUCAGGCUCUUGAAAGUUAAAUGGAAGACUAAUGAAUUUCUAAUAGAUAAAACUCAUUUUUUUUAAAAAGGUUAUACUCAAUGUAAGUGUAUUGAGUUGUAUAAUUUUUUUCAUAACAAAAGGAUUCACUUCUGUACAUCAAUGCUAGCCGUGAUGGUAUGUUUAAAUUUAGAGUACACCAAAUCGACCUAGAGACUAUAUUUUUAUUCUCAAUUGAGAAAUGAUUAAAGAUAUCAACAUGAAUCGACUUUUAGAUUUUAUAUUAAAGGUUUUUUUUUUGUUUAGUGGUAACUUUACAGUUACACACAUGACCAAAUACAGUCAUCUCGACAAUCGUACUUAAAUUUUUAACAGGGUUAAAUCUCGUACAAGAAUUUCGUCAUAUGGACAAAAAUUACUGUAUUUGUAUAAAAGGUCUGAUGGUAGGUUGUAAGUCUAAUAUUGAUAUUGAUGACAUUGGAUUGGCUAAGCAUGAUAAGGAGUGUAUAGAGACCAUUUUGAAAUGAUUGUCGUCAAUUUUUGAGACAAAAGACAUAGAUUUAACAAAUUGUAUGAUUUAUGCUAAGAAUACUUUUCGUAUGUUCUUACUCUAUCAUAAGAGUUUUAUACUAUAAAUGGUCAUGUGGAAUUGCAACUGUGACCAUAUAAGUCUUCAUAAAUGUCUAAAGAUUUCAUAAGCGCACAAAAAAAUAUCCAGAGAACCAUAUCUAGUACGAUUAAGAGUUAGGAGAUAGAAGUAUACUAUGAUAUAUACUGUUGCUAAUAAUAGUCAUGCCAUGGAUCUAAUCAGUAGGUAUCAAUAUUAUCUUUAGAAAAUGUAUUGUGAUAUCUGAAGGGUGCUGCUGUCAGUUAUUCUAUCUCGUUGUCAAACGAAUAACUUGUGAUUGGAAUAGAUAUACAAUUGUUGACUAAGAAUGAGAGUUAGUCGAGCAUAAUUAGUUAUUUGACUUGUGCGCUUUUGCUAUAUAGAGUAGCAAGAAGCAUAUAUUGUAAUGUAUAUCUUGGCAGCUAAAGAAAUUGUUUGGUAUGAUUGUAUUGAGCAUCUAAUGAUACUGGUUAAGAAUAUGAGAUCCAUGACAGUUACGCAACUAUCUUAUAUGUUAACAUCUCAAAUAUCAAGAUGGAACCAAACAAUUAAUAGUAUUUCUGUGAGAGACAUUAGCAAAGAAAGUGUCUUUGUGAUAUAUUUACAUAAAUGAUGAUAUGUAAUCAUUAUACUCUGAAAAUGUCUAGAGAUAUCUUUUUUGAUAAUAUGGAAUCUCUAGACUUUCGUAGAAUAUGAUACUUGGUAUAUCAGACAAACUCUUGAUUGAGUUUUAUGUGCCCAUAGAUGAACAAUUUUGAGUUCAUUUGUAAUCUAAUGUUGGGAUUAUAAGAUAAAUGAUUUGUAUGCACAUAUAAAGUAUGUCGAAUGGGUUGAGAUUGGCCCACUCACAUGGGCAAUCGCCUCAUACGUUUUGAGAUGUGCUGAGAUGAGACAAAAUGAUCGUGUUAUGUACAUGAUCCUGUGACCUUAAUAGUGAUCAUAUUGUGUACAUGAUCCAGUCUCCUUAUUAAGGUAUCAAGAUGAGAUUACAACAAGUAAUCGAAAUAUAUUUUUCUAUCCAUUAAACCCGUUUAAUAGCUAGAUCGAGUUCUCGAUUUGAGAAUACUUGGAGGAAUGAAUAUAAGGAUAACUCAAGUUAGAUAUGAUGAAUAUUUGAACUAUGAUUUGUACGAUGUAUUUAAUUUGCAAGAUUAGACAUAUGCCCUAAGAAAGGGAGAAAACAUCGUAACAUGUGUUUCGUACCAUGUGUGCUUUAAUGACCAAUGAAAAAUGAAAGAAUUGAUCCCUGCAUCUUCAUUGUGUGAGUCUCUGAGGUACAUUUGACCUCAUUUAUAAUUUCUCAAAAUUUUAUUUUUGUGUUGCUACUUUAGCAUGUUACCAAUAACUAUGAUUGAUUCGGUUUGAUAAGACAUGUCUAGGAAAGCAGCUAACUUGAAAUGAAGGGAUUCAAGUAGGAAAGGAAGACUAUUUAACUAAUACCUCAACUUGUAUUCAUCGGCCGGACAAUUGUGUUAAUUAUUUGAGUUUUGUGACACAAUUGUGAAUAUAAUAUAAAUGAGAAAGUUGAGUAUAUUCUAAAAUGAAUUGAGGGGUCAAAAAUACUCGAAAUGGUGUUAUAAAAUAUGUCUGGGGUAUUGCGAGAAAUAUAAUUUCUCUUCUAAAGCUGCUAUAUAUCCCUAACAGGUGUAUAAUAUUGUUUGCUCUUAAAUUAACUCAUCGGUCGCACGAUCCAUUUACCUGUAUGAACUUGGAGAUAUUGAGAUUAAUAUAAUUGAUAUUAUAUUAGAAUCAGGUCUAGCCCAUCAUGUGCAAGUGGGAGAUGUUGGAAGAAAAUGGGUCACCCAUGUGGGUUGAUCCGACCCGAUUUGCAUGGAAAUAGAUUUUGGAGGGAGGAGAUGAAAAUUGAAUUUAAAAGUUAACCUCCCCACCUCCAAAAACUCCCAUCAACUUCCAUUAAUCUUUUUUUUUCCUGAAAGCAAAAACUAAGAAAAUUCGGGUUAAAGGGAGUGGAAGAAAAAUACAUGAGGAAAAAGAUUUGAUUUUUGGAAGAUAAUAUCUCAAUUGGGUUCUUGGAUUGUGACUGUCAAAUUCCUUCAUUUGUGAUCGAGUUUCUGACUAAAAAGAGGAGUACUUGGUGAGCAAGCAAGAGGCAAGAAGGCAAGUAAUUCAACCUCUCGUUUUCUUGGGAUUUCAAGUAAGUUUUAAUGUUCCAAACUCGGUUAUAUGUAUACAAGCAUGUUUUACAAUCUCCAUUAGAUUUACACCAUCUCCACUAGGUUUUUGCAUAGAUUAGUAAGUUGUGUAUUCGUAUUUGGGAUUGGUUGUGGUGGGUCAAAAUAUUGGCUAAGAUUGAUCCAGGUGGUGACUUUGCUGAGUAGAUGGAUACAUUUAGAUUUUUGAAUAUGCAUUUUUUUGGGGUUGAUUAGUGAAAAAUUGUGGUUCUUUAGAUUCAUAAGAACGGUAAAAAUUGAUGGAUUGCAUGCCCUCAAAAGAAUGGAUGGCGAUCUAUCAAGGUUAGUGGUUUUGAAGCAGUACCACCAUUUGCUGGUGAUAGCAUUGCAGGAUGCUGAUAUGAAAGAUGAAAUGCAAGAGAAGUUUUAGAGUGGAUGGAUGGUGCGAUGGUGGUCGUGAAUGGAAGAAUUUGGUGGGUGGUGGUUUCCAGUGGAUUAGUUUAAGAAGAUGGAAUUUUUUAUUUAACAUGUGAUUGUUACCUACUAAUUGCAUAAUGCGUGACUUAAUAUACAAUUGUGAUCUUGUAUGGUAUGUGACUUAUCAUGGCAGUGGUCAAUAAAUCGAGUGGUGUAUGAUCGUGACAUUUUUAAUUUUAAUUAUUUAUCACAACAUUUAUCAAAAUGUCAUAAAUGUGAUCAUAUGAUUUUUGACAGUUUUUUUUUUAAAUUUAUUAAUUAAAAUAUUAUUCUUAAAUAUUUAUAGUUAUGUACUUUUUCCAUUCGAAAAUUCAAGUUAAAUAUGGUAAUAACCUCUCUACUCGCAACACAUUUUGUUCUAUUAGAGCAUCUUUAAAAGACUUUUUAAAUAUGAGAUGCUCUCUAUUUUAAUGAGUCAACCCUUAAAAUCAAGCUGCAAGAGACUCCUUAAAUUAAUCAAACCCAUUCUCUAUAAUUAAAUGUAUUCAAACUGUUUCAAUUUUUAUUGUAGAAAGAUAAUAAAAUAAUAUUGAGAAAAGUUGGUUAAAAUAAAAGAUAGAGAAAAUUAAUAAAUAUUUUUUUAGAGUAAUAAAAUUAAAUAUUAAAUAUAAAAAUUUAUUUAUGCUAUUCAAAUAAUAGAAUAUGUUUUUGAAAAAUAGAGAGCUUAUUGGAGAUAUUAUUAACAUUCUCUGUGGCAUAGAUCCAUAUAGACCUAGCCUUUGUAGUUUUCCAAUAAAUAACUUUUUUGGGAUAGCAUUUCUAAACUUUUAUUUUUUUUUAAGGGUGCGGUUGAUUGUAAGGAUGGAAUUUGUAUUGAACGAAAAUAAAUUCUAAACAGUUCAAUUGUUUAUAACUUAUUUGCAUGAAAAUUCUCAAUUAAAUGUGUUUGAUUGAUUUAAUUUUCAACUUAAAAAAUAUUAUACUUGUUCAUUUUUUAUUGGUGAGUAGAUGAGAGGAGAGAGAGAGAGAGAGAGAGAGAGAGAUAGUGAAUUCCUUUGGAAAAUAAAAUUCUACUCCUUAUAAAGAAAAUAUUUUCCUUGAUUUUGACGAAAAUAUGCUCACAUGACAAAAGUAAUGUUUUUCAUGUAAAAAAUUCCAUCAAACAACACAAAGUAGGAAUUUGGAUGAAAAAUACACAUUUUUCAUAAAAAAAUAUUGACAAUCAACCGCCCUCUAAAAGUAGUUGAAGUACGCUACAUUGACUUAAUAAAAUAAAUGGAAAAUAAAUAUCUAGAGAGUUUUUUAUUAUAUAGUCCUUAGUUGGCGUAGCUUAAAAUUUUACCAAAACUCUAAGUCAAAAUUAACAAUUACUUUUAAUCAUAUAUAUAAUUUUUCAACUAUACAUUUCAUUAUUUUUUUUAUCAAAAUUUACUAGAAAAUAUAAUUUUUAACUUAUUGAAUAUGGGUAAGAUUAAAAAUUUAGGCUAAAUUUUGAAAUUAAUAUAUUUUAUCAAAUUUGAAUAUAAGCAAAAAAAAAAAUUGAAAACAUAAUUUAUCCAAAUGGAAAAAUUAAAUUAAAAUUUGGCGAAAUAUUUUUUAUGGUUGGUCGUAAAAAAAUUAAAUAUAAUUUAUCUAAAUAGAAAAAAUUCAAUUAAAAUUUAGCCAAAUAUUUUUACUGUUGUUCGUAGAAAAAAAAUUAAUUUUUUUUCACUCGAAAUUAUUUUCAACUGUACAUUUUAUAAAAUCUAUAACUUUUAUUCAAUUACCACUCACUUUCUAAUAAAAUUACUCUAUCCUUCCAAUUUAUAUUGGCUAGCUUUCCUUAUUUUCUUGUCCGAACCAUAUAGUUUCGUUUCCUUGUUGAGAAUUUUUGUUUUGCUUGCUUAUUAAUAUAAAUUAACUUCUUCUUUUUUUAUUUACUCUUGAAAUUGUACAAACAUAAUAAGAGUAAAUUAGGAAAGCUUUUGACAAAAAUUACGUUUUUAAUAAUAGUAGAUAAGAUUUCUUAAUUCUUGAGAAAAAUAAAACAAGCCUAUAUAUAAAUAGGAUGUUCGGAAAAAAUUUACCAAGAGAGGCUUUUAAGUGUUAAAAUUUUUCAGAAUCUUCUAUACCCACACGUAGCUUUACCUAGACAGUAAUGUUAUUCAUAGUCGCACUACAUCACAUCCUACAUAUUAAAAUAUUUACUAAUAGCUGGUAACAUACUCUAGUAUGGGUGUGUGUACUGGAAUGGUCUUGUUACUUGUUCACCACUCCAACACUUAUGGGACCAUAAUUUACUGUUGUAACUGUACUGAUUCUUCACAUGUACAUCACAUUUCUUUUACUUGUUCACCACUCCAGUACUUGUAUAAAUCUACAGCCAUUGUGCUUUGAAAAUACAAGAAAUCAAUCUCGUCUUCUUCACUUGCCUUCUUUGUUCUCUGUUUUUUAUUUAAUUUCAACUUGAUCAGCUCAACUAACUUCUAACACACUGAUGCCUCCAAUGUUGGGAGGAAAUCAGAUGCGAUCAUUUGGGAUAAGCUUGACUCAAGUUCUACCAGUGAAGCUUGACAGAAAUAAUUUUCUGUUGUGGAAGAACGUGGUGAUGCCAAUAAUCAAAGGACAUAAUCUGGAAGGUUUCAUCACAGGAACCAAAAGCUGUCCAGCAGAGUUCCUAGCAACACAAUCCACUGGCUCUACUGGAGUUACAGUUGAAAUGGCUCCUAAUGCUGAAUAUGGAGAGUGGAUGUCUACUGAUCAAGUAUUGAUGGGUUGGUUAUAUUCGUCAAGGACACCUGAAAUUGCAGUGAUAGUAAUGAGAUCAUCUAACUCCUGGAAUCUAUGGAAUGCUAUUCAAGAGAGCUUUGGAGCCAUGAACAAAUCAAGGGUCAUCUUCCUCAUCAUUGAACUUCAAAGGACUAGGAAGGGAACAAUGAGUGUUGAUCAAUAUCUUAACACAAUCAAGCAGCUAGCAGACAACCUUGAAAUUGCUGGUAAGAUCAUUCCUCAUGAUGAUCUUGUUACUCAAGUGCUAGUUGGAUUGGAUGAAGAAUAUACCCCUAUAGUAGUUUGAAUUAAUAGCAGAGAGUCCAUCUCCUGGCAUGAAUUGCAGUUUGUGCUCAUGACUUAUGAGAGCAGAAUUGAACACCUUAGUGCUCUGAAAAAUGGUCUGGCUUCAGUUAACUUACGAGAAGCCUCAGUAAAUUUCGUUCACAGUUCAAAUACUAAUAGAGGAAGAAGGUUUAACUAUGCUGGAAGAAGUAACAACUACAGGGGAGGCAGAAAUUGAGGUAGAGGAGGCAGGCGUUUUGCAAGUAAAGGGCCGUGCCAAAUCUGUGGGAUGAACAACCAUUCAGUAGCAAGAUGCUUUAACCGUUAUGAUGGGAGGUAUAUGGGUACUAAGCCUGAUCGCCACUAUCAAAAUAACUCCUCAGAACCAUCUGCUCUUAUAGCCUCUUCCAGGACUAUUGCGGAUCCAGCUUGGUUUGCAUAUUCAGCUGCCAACAAUUAUGUCACUUCUGACAAGGGCAAUGAUAAGUGUAUUUUUGUACACUUAUUUAGGUCACAAACAUGACUUAAUAAUGAGCAAAAUGAUUGAAUUGUGACUUAAUCUCGUUAUAUUUGUGAAUUGUAGAGAACACCGAUGAACAUGGUGAAAUUCAGAAGAAAAGAGGCGAAAAAAGACAAUGGAGCAAAGUGAUAAUUCGAGGACCAAGUUGCAAAUAAUUCAUAGAUGAGACGGGAAAUGGAAUGAAGAUUCAAGAGUGUUAGAGGUCAAUCGGAUGAGGAAAGGAGUCUAGAGGUGAAAUAUGGUCGAAAUAUUAUUAAGUAUCAACUUUUAGGCGAAAAAGUUAUGCUCGUGAUUUUUAGUCUCUAUUUGAGAUCCAUUUUGACAUAGUAAACAUCAGAAUUUGAGGAAGCCUAUUUCAAUCAAAAGUGUAUAUCUUUGAGUUUUCUUUCCAAUGCACUUUGAAUCACUUCAAUUGGAGAUCGGGAGAGAAAGUUAUGAUCAAAAUACUGAAAACUAUCUGACGAAAAAAUUUCUAUAACCAUGCGGCCGCAUGGUUAUAAUUCCUUGCGGUCGCACAAGGCAGUACAGGGAAAAAUCUGGGCUGAAACUUUUGAACCAUGGUGUAGCAUGGCUUUAUACCAUGCGGUCGCAUGGUAUAAAAAUGUGACGAAAUCUCAGGUUUCCUUAUUCAAUUCAAACACGAUUUAGUAAGGUUUUGGGUGACUUCUUUGACCUAAUUCCGCCUCCAAUAAAUACCAGACGACCCUGAAACAUAAAGAGGGGGGAAUAUACACAAUUUUGGAGGAUUUGAAGAGAAAGAACAAGGCAAAAACAAGACAAUCCACUUCAAGAUUUAAGAUUUCACUUCAAGAAUCAAUUGGGUGACGUUCUUCCUUAGUUUUAAUUAUUGUUUUUCUUUAUUUCCCAUUAUGCUAGGCUAGAUUUUCAAUUACUAGGUGAUCGAUGAACCAUUGUUUGUUAUUUUAAUUCCAUAUUCCAUGAAUUUAAUAUAAAGACUCGUUUGGAUAAUUUGAUUGGUUUACAUGCAUUAAUUUUCUUCCGCAAUUAGUGGCCAAUGAUUGUGUGAGUGUUGAUGACUUAUUUCUUACAUUCGAGAGAAGUGGAAUAGGUUCGAUAAGGUGUAAAUUAACAUAGGGUCCUAUAGGGGAUAGAGAUAUACCCCUAUGCUUUAUGAAAUUCUUUAAUUGUUCACAAAACCACAUGCAUUCUUGUAUAUUUGCAUCAUCCAUAGAGAUAUACGCCGGUGGUGUGCAAGAAUAGGUCUAAUAUAUAUCGAGAGAAAAUAUUGAUAGAAUUAGGAACAUCGAAUUGACAAAUUUCCAUCAGGUCAUUAAUUUUAUGAAAUUAGGGUUUUUAUAACUUCAAUUGGGGAUUCGUGAUCCUAGUGACUUUAGUUUGAUUAAUUUCCAUAAAUUAGCUUUUGAAUUUGCAUAAUUUCAUUUACUUGAGUAUUUGAGUCAUUUAAUUAGAGAAAUUUCGAAAUUAGGGUUUCUAAUUGAAAAAUUAGGGUUUAUGAUAGAAAUUAGGGUUUUUAGUUGAAAUUAGGGUUUCUUAAUUGAAAUUAGAGCUUUUUGCAUUUAGACCAUAUUUUCACUCAAUUAGAUUCGGUUAAGGUUAGAUUAUAUAGAACUGAACUAUUCAAUCUCUGAGGGACGAUAUUCGGACUUUUUAAAAUCCACUUCAUUACUUGUUACGAAUCGUACACUUGCGGUAGUUUUAAAUCGAAAGAAUUAUUUCGUGAACAGGCAAUCUAAUUGAGCCACAUGAGUAUGGUGGUAAGGGAAGUCUUCCUGUUGGUGAUGGUAACAAACUUCACAUCUCUCACAUUGGCACAAAUCACUUGAGCACACAGAACAACAAAUCCUUGGUUCUUAGUAAUGUUUUGUUAGUACCUUCUAUCAAGAAGAAUUUGUUAAGUGUCUCACAAUUAACAUCUGAUAAUGCUGUAUUUAUGGAAUUUCAUUCUAAUUUUUGUACUAUUAAGGACAAAGAGACAAAGGAGGUGCUGCUGGAAGGGAAGAUUAAGGAUGGGCUGUAUCAGAUUGAUCUCCUAGAUCAAGUUAAUAGGUUCCCUUGCCCAAAGUUAGUCCACUCAAAUAAGUUAAACUCUUCAGUUUUUGUUGUUCAGUCCAGAAAUGCCACAGAGUAUGAGUCUAAAUUGAAAUUGUGGCACAUGAGGUUUGGACAUCCUUCAGGUCCUGUGAUGUCUCAAGUACUUAAAUUUUGUAAUGAAAAACUUGAUGUCAAUGAAGUUAAAUCAUUUUUGUGAUGCCUGCCAACUUGGCAAAGCACAUUCCCUGCCUUUUAAACUAUCUACCUCACACGCAUCAGCCCCUCUUGCCUUGAUUCACACAGGUGUUUGGGGUCCAGCACCUUUACAGUCAACCUCUAGUUUAAGUAUUACAUUAUAUUCAUAGAUGACUACAGUACGUAUACAUGGAUAUACCUUAUGAGAAACAAAUCAGAAGCUUUGAACUCAUUUAUUCAAUUCAAAAAUCUUAUUGAGAACAAGUUUAAUAGAAAAAUUAAAGCACUUCAAUCAGAUUGGAGAGGUGAGUUCAGGGCAUUUACUGAAUUAACUUGACAAUCGGGGAUUGAUAUGCGACUUUCCUGUCCUCACACCCCAGCCCAAAAUGGUAGAGUUGAAAGAAAACAUCGACACAUUACAGAAAUUGGCCUAACUCUUCAUUGACACAGUUCGCACUAAAGGACAUGGGUGAACUGCACCAGUUUUUAGGAAUUGAAGUAAGGAGCUAUGAAUCAGGAAUGUGUCUCACUCAGGUUAAGUACAAAAAAGACUUGUUGAAAAAGUUUAAUUUUGAACACCUUAAACAUUGUGCGAUGCCCAUGACAGUUGGCAAGUGCAUCUCCAAGAAUGAAGGUGAAAAAUGGCAGACCCUUUCUUAUACAAAAGUGUAAUAGGUGGACUUCAGUACCUAGGACAUACGCGACCUGAUAUAAGUUUUGCAGUAAAUAAAUUGAGUCAAUUUCUACAAACUCCUUCAGAAACUCAUUGGAAGGCAGUAAAGAGGAUUUUUAGGUAUCUAAAGGUUACAAUUGAACAAGGUCUAUGGAUCCAAAAGAGUGACAUAAUGGACAUCGCAUGGUUUGCUGAUGCGGAUUGGGCGUCAUGUCCUGAUGACAGAAGUUCAACAUCCGACUACUGUGUCUAUUUAGGAGAUACCUUAGUGGCCUGGUCUUCAAAGAAACAAUUGGUGGUGGCGAGGUCAAGUGCUGAAAUCAGAGUACAGAGCACUAGCACAAUCCUCUGCUGAAAUAACUUGGGUAGAGUCGUUGCUUAAAGAAAUCAAGCUACAACCUGCUUCACCUCAUACCUAUGGUGUGAUAAUCUUAGUGCCAGUGCAUUAGCCUCUAAUCCAGUUUAUCAUGCUCGAACUAAACACAUCGACUUAGAUAUACAUUUGUUAGAGAUAAAGUUCUUGAAGGGAAGUUGAAGAUAAAAUACAUUCCAUCAUCAGACCAAACGGCAGAUCUGUUAACCAAACCACUUGCUCAUUCCAAAUUCUUGUUUCUCAAAGACAAGCUUGGAGUUAAUGAAUAAACUCCAGCUUGAUGGAAGAUGUUAAAAUGUUUACUAAUAGCUGGUGACAUACUCCAGUAUGGGCGUGUGUACUGAAAUGGUCCUUUUACUUGUUUACCACUCUAGCACUUAUGGAACCAUAAUUUACUGGUGUAACUGUACUGAUUCUUCACAUGUACAUCACAUUUCUUUUACUUGUUCACCACUCCAGUACUUGUAUAAAUCUACAGCCAUUGUGCUUUGAAAAUACAAGAAAUCGAUCUCGUCUUCUUCACUUGCCUUCUUUGUUCUCUGUUUUUUAUUUAAUUUCAACUCUAAAUGACGGUUUGUGAUUUGACGCAUUAAUGUGAUAGUUUUUUCUUACCUCAUAUAUCAAAUCACUAAAUGUAUGUGUAUACUAUGUAAGGCGACCACGAUAAUGAGUGACUGCAAAUAACAUUACUCUUACCUAUAUACGUGUUCUCUUCACCGCUCAAAUUACUCCAAUUAUCUCGAGUUAAGGUAUUAUCGAUGCUUAUGUGAACUUUUCUUUCUUUUUUUCCCCCCUGCAAAAUUCAAUAAUGGGCCAUGUUUAUUUUUCUGUUUUAAGUUUUUGGUGAAAAGUUUUUGUUUUUUUUUUGUUUUUCCCCUGAUGUGUCAGGAAAUCGUCUAAACUCUUGGUCUAUUUUGCGAGUUGAGAUCGGCCUAAAGGUCUUCAUUUUCUGAUUUACUGGUAAGGUUUUUUAAUAUUUUUCUCUCUUUUUUUGGAUUGAUUUUGAUUGUUCAUAUGCAUAAUAGAUUAGUAAAGCUUCAACUUUUCUCAGUCUGUAUAUUGACUUAUUUAUAAUAUCGAGUUUUUCCUACUCUGAACAAGAGCUAAUUCUACUCGUUAACAAUUAUGUGACUGUAUGAUUUGGGUUUUAGGAAUUCUUCAAAUUUUAUCUUCAAUAGAAGCAUUAAAUAGUGAUAUAUUUGGAGCAUCUUGACUGUUAAUUUGUUUGGCUUUGAUUAAAAGUUUCUUUUACUUGAAGAUAAGUAGGUUCUGUUAAUAUAAAAAGUAACUUUGAAAAAUUAAGAAAGUUAAAAGUAAGUUUAGUGUACUUUUAAGCACAACCAAACGUGUUUGUCUGGUUUCUGUGCAAGUCAAAUGAAAUGGAAAAAAUUCUUCUGUAUUUUACUUUGUAACACAGUAUUUAACGGAUUGUAUUUGUCAUCGUUUCAGUUCAUUAAUGAGAAUGAUCUUACUUAUACAGUCUCCAUUUACAUUGUUUUGCAGCAAAUUAAUCUGAUAAUAGCUAUUAGUCCCAUUAACAAGGAAUUUCUGACAGGUUUGGAAGUUUGUUAUCCACUUUAUAAAGUUGAAACGAGAUUGUGAUUCAUUAUCAAAUCAGUUAGGUAUUCCUGCUGCUACAUGAUUCAUAAUUCAUUAUUCGAAACACCUUUUGGGUGGAUAAAUGCUUGCUUACACAUUACCACUAAUUUGAUUAUUAGCUGGUUAAACAACUAUGGUGGGUUGAAUAUUACGAGUAGCGCCCCUUCCUGAACCUUAAUGUCUCUGUUAUGCAAUGUACUCGCUUUAUUCUUAGAUAUCUUUUCACAUAUACUUCUUGUUCUGUAUUCUGGCGAAUGACAGGAUUUUUACAUUAAUGGAGUCUUCCAAAGAGACUGGCUGCCAAGCUCCAGAAGGUCCCAUUCUUUGCAUAAACAACUGUGGCUUCUUUGGAACUGCAGCUACCAUGAAUAUGUGCUCCAAGUGCCACAAAGAGACGAUCUUGAAACAGCAACACACCAAACUCCUUCUACCGUUGAGAACUUUGUUAAUAGCGGUUCAAGCACAAAAGGGAAAGAGCCUGUUGUGACUGAGACUGAUGCAAUUGACGUGCAAGAUAGAACAGUGGAGUUGAAGGCCCCAUCUAAUUAGCACACGUCUUCUGAUUUAUUUUCAGGUCAGAGUUUAGAGGUAAGGACGAAAGGCGGCACUAAAAGGUGCAGCACUUGCCACAAAUGCAUGGGUUUAACGGGUUUUAGUUGUAGGUGUGACAAUCUCUUCUAUUCAGUUCAUCGUUACUCUGACAAACACGAUUGACGGUUUGAUUAUUGGAUGGCAGCUCAGGAUGUUACAGCCAAAGAAAACCCUACUGUUAAAGCCGAAAAGCUCGAUAAGAUCUAACAGGCAGAAUAAAAGUUAUGAACCCAAAUCUGAUGCUCUCUUUACGCAUCUGUACAUCUCUGUAUAAUUUGGCGACGUGUGCUGUUGAAUGGCGUAAGGCAAGAAGAUGGGGCAUCGUUGUGAUCUUCGAACUUUGGGUUACUUUUCGAUUGGCUAGAGUUAAGUUGGUUUUCUU